AAGACUAUAGACCUGCGGAGUACCUGCGGAGGGAUCAUUAUCGUAUUGUAACAAUUGGGGGGGCCACCGUGGGCUGUCGCUGACCCUUUGAAAGGGGGGUCGUGCACGCCCCCAUAGUGUCAUCCUCAUACAAUCUAACUCACCUCUGUGCAUCACCGCGUGGGUUCCUUUCUGGGUCGAGUCAGACUGGCUCAGAAAAAAGGGGCUUGCGUUUUCCAUACAAAUACCCUUAUAAAUCCA
rnacentral:misc_RNA from 1 species